rnacentral:rRNA from 1 species
UAGGGAAUCUUCGGCAAUGGACGAAAGUCUGACCGAGCAACGCCGCGUGAGUGAAGAAGGUUUUCGGAUCGUAAAACUCUGUUGUUAGAGAAGAACAAGGACGUUAGUAACUGAACGUCCCCUGACGGUAUCUAACCAGAAAGCCACGGCUAACUACGUGCCAGCAGCCGCGGUAAUACGUAGGUGGCAAGCGUUGUCCGGAUUUAUUGGGCGUAAAGCGAGCGCAGGCGGUUUCUUAAGUCUGAUGUGAAAGCCCCCGGCUCAACCGGGGAGGGUCAUUGGAAACUGGGAGGAUUGAGUGCAGAAGAGGAGAGUGGAAUUCCAUGUGUAGCGGAGAAAUGCGUAGAUAGAUGGAGGAACACCAGUGGCGAAGGCGGCUCUCUGGUCUGUAACUGACGCUGAGGCUCGAAAGCGGGGGGAGCAAACAGG